rnacentral:rRNA from 1 species
GUGUCAGCCGCCGCGGUAAUACAGAGGGUGCAAGCGUUGUUCGGAAUUAUUGGGCGUAAAGGGCGCGUAGGCGGUGUGGUAAGUCACCUGUGAAAUCUCCGGGCUCAACUCGGAGCUUGCAGGCGAAACUGCCGUGCUGGAGUGUGGGAGAGGUGCGUGGAAUUCCCGGUGUAGCGGUGAAAUGCGUAGAUAUCUGCAGGAACACCCGUGGCGAAGGCGGCUGACUGGAUCGCAACUGACACUGAGGAACGAAAGCUAGGGGAGCAAACAGGAUUAGAUACCCUGGUAGUCCUAGCCCUAAACCAUCGGAACUUGGGGUGGCCCGCGUAGGCGGGUCGUCCCGUAGCUACCGCGUUAAGUUCCGCGCCUGGGGAGUACGGUCGCAAGACUGAAACUCAAAGGAAUUGACGG